GAGAAUGCUUUUCAAUACAGCGCUUCAGUUAUCUACUACCAAUUGUAUCUGGCCUUCAAAAGGAGACCUUUCUCCCAUCCUGAGACAAGAUAAUCUCCAAAGGACCAACAGGAAAUCAUCACUCUGCUGGACGUGGGGGUUGCAGAGUACUCACAACUUGGAGAAAAAAAUGAAUGAGGUCCCAGAUAACUCCAGUUCCAGUAAACCUGACCAGGACAGCACUGACUUGG